GGCUCAGGAUGAACGCUAGCGGCAGGCCUAAUACAUGCAAGUCGAACGGUGUCUUCGGACAUAGUGGCGCACGGGUGCGUAACACGUAUGCAACCUACCUUACAUUGGGGGAUAGCCUUUCGAAAGGGAGAUUAAUACCGCAUAAGACAGUAGCUGGGCAUCCAGCAGCUGUUAAAGAUUUAUCGAUGUAAGAUGGGCAUGCGUCCAAUUAGUUAGUUGGCGAGGUAACGGCUCACCAAGACUUUGAUUGGUAGGGGAACUGAGAGGUCAAUCCCCCACACUGGCACUGAGAUACGGGCCAGACUCCUACGGGAGGCAGCAGUAGGGAAUAUUGGACAAUGGGCGCAAGCCUGAUCCAGCCAUGCCGCGUGCAGGAAGAAGCAUCUAUGGUGUGUAAACUGCUUUUGUACAGGAAGAAACACUCCCUCGUGAGGGAGCUUGACGGUACUGUAAGAAUAAGGAUCGGCUAACUCCGUG
rnacentral:rRNA from 1 species